rnacentral:lncRNA from 1 species
UUUUUAAAGGUCCUUAUUCAUUAAAUGGAUACAGAGUGAGAGUCUAUAGACAAGAUUCUGCCACCCAGUGGUUUACUGGCAUAAUUACUCAUCAUGACCUCUUCACCCGCACCAUGAUCGUUAUGAAUGAUCAGGUGAAAAUAUUGGCAUUACAUCACGACGCAGGUCUCGUGCCAGUCAAAAUAUCAGCACUGUUCACGGUCAUUAUACGCGUGCUCAAGCAAAUAGUCCCAGACCAGCAAUGAACUCUCAAGCUGCUGUACCAAAACAGAAUACACACCAGCAACAGCAACAAAGAAGUAUUCGUCCAAGUAAGAGGAAGGGCUCAGACAGCAGUGCACC